AACAGGAUUAGAUACCCUGGUAGUCCACGCCGUAAACGAUGGUCACUAGGUGUGGGGGGUGUCGACUCCCUCCGUGCCGGAGCUAACGCAUUAAGUGACCCGCCUGGGGAGUACGGCCGCAAGGCUAAAACUCAAAGGAAUUGACGGGGGCCCGCACAAGCAGCGGAGCAUGUGGUUUAAUUCGACGCAACGCGAAGAACCUUACCUGGGCUUGACAUGGCCGUGACCGGCGUGGAAACACGUCUUCCCUUCGGGGCACGGUCACAGGUGGUGCAUGGCUGUCGUCAGCUCGUGUCGUGAGGUGUUGGGUUAAGUCCCGCAACGAGCGCAACCCCCGUCGCAUGUUGCCAGCAUUCAGUUGGGGACUCAUGCGAGACUGCCGGUGACAAACCGGAGGAAGGUGGGGAUGACGUCAAGUCAUCAUGCCCCUUAUGUCCAGGGCUACACACGUGCUACAUUGGCGCGUACAGAGGGCUGCGAUACCGCGAGGUGGAGCGAAUCCCUUAAAGCGCGUCUCGGUUCGGAUUGUAGGCUGAAACCCGCCUACAUGAAGGUGGAGUUGCUAGUAAUCGCGGAUCAGCAUUGCCGCGGUGAAUACGUUCCCGGGCCUUGUACACACCGCCCGUCACACCACGGGAGUGAGCAACACCCGAAGCCGGUGGCCUAACCCGCAAGGGAGGGAGCCGUCGAAGGUGGGGCUCGUGACUGGGGUGAAGUCGUAACAAGGUAACC
rnacentral:rRNA from 1 species